rnacentral:rRNA from 1 species
UAGGGAAUCUUCCGCAAUGGGCGAAAGCCUGACGGAGCAACGCCGCGUUAGUGAUGAAGGUCUUCGGAUCGUAAAACUCUGUUAUUAGGGAAGAACAAAUGUGUAAGUAACUAUGCACGUCUUGACGGUACCUAAUCAGAAAGCCACGGCUAACUACGUGCCAGCAGCCGCGGUAAUACGUAGGUGGCAAGCGUUAUCCGGAAUUAUUGGGCGUAAAGCGCGCGUAGGCGGUUUUUUAAGUCUGAUGUGAAAGCCCACGGCUCAACCGUGGAGGGUCAUUGGAAACUGGAAAACUUGAGUGCAGAAGAGGAAAGUGGAAUUCCAUGUGUAGCGGUGAAAUGCGCAGAGAUAUGGGGGAACACCAGUGGCGAAGGCGACUUUCUGGUCUGUAACUGACGCUGAUGUGCGAAAGCGUGGGGAUCAAACAGG